UACGUAGGCAGCAAGCGUUGUUCGGAAUUACUGGGCGUAAAGAGUGUGUAGGCGGUGUUCCAAGUCUGGUGUGAAAUCUCCCGGCUUAACUGGGAGGGUGCAUUAGAAACUGGAAUGCUAGAGGAUGGGAGAGGUAAGCGGAAUUCCUGGUGUAGCGGUGAAAUGCGUAGAUAUCAGGAGGAACACCGGUGGCGAAGGCGGAUCUCUGGGCCAUUACUGACGCUGAGGAGCGAAAGCGUGGGGGAGCGAACAGG
rnacentral:rRNA from 1 species